rnacentral:lncRNA from 1 species
UGUUGUCAACUAGGUGAUAUAACCUAUAAAAUUUUUUUCUAGGAAUUGAGAUUGAUUUACAACUGAUUUUGCUGUUGCUUGGUAAUGUUUUGUGGCUCGUACUCAGUUUGUUAAAUACUUGGGUUGGCUCAGUGCUUUAAAUUGUGGCCAGGGAAAUCAGACCUUGCACAGACUGGGGGGAUUUUGUACUACAUAUGAAUAGUACAGAAAUAGUGAUGGCUUCUUAGAUUUUCCUGCACUAAUAAAUACUAAUUUCCUUUUUUAUCAUAUAUGGAGGGAAAUAUAACUUUAAGACUAUGGAAGUCAUCAAUCUUAAUUCAUAUUUAUUCUUAUUCAGGUGAAUAUUGUACU